GAGAAAAGCUAAGGAGCAAAAUAUAGUUGUCGAGCUCACUAAUUUAUACAACCAUUUCUUCACAUCCACGGGCGAAUGUAAAGCUAAAGUAACUGCAGCUCGUCUGCCUUAUUUUGAUGGUGAUUAUUGGCCUGGUGCUGCAGAGGAUAUGAUUUAUCAACUUCAGCAGGAAGAGGAUGGGAGAAAGCAGCCUAAAAAAGGAACUACAAGGAAGACCAUAACAAAAA
rnacentral:misc_RNA from 1 species